rnacentral:rRNA from 1 species
GGUCUUUUGGAUUAUAGUAUAAGAUUUGACCUGCCCGCUGAAUUAUUGAAUGGCCGCGGUAUUUUGACCGUGCAAAGGUAGCAUAAUAAUUAGUUUUUUGAUUGAAAGCUGGAAUGAAUGGUUGGACGAAAAAGUCACUGUCUCUAAUUAAUUUUAUAUAAAAUUUUAUUUUUAAGUUAAAAAGCUUAAAUUUGAAUAGAAGACGAGAAGACCCUAUAGAGUUUUAUAUUUUAUAAUAGGUUUAAUUUUAGGAAUUUUAAUUUUACCUUUUUUAUAAUAUUUUAUUGGGGUGAUAAAAAGAUAAAGAUAACUCUUUUUUUAUUUUUACAUUUAUAUAUGAUAAUUUGAUCCAUUAUUUAUGAUUACAAGAAAAAAUUACCUUAGGGAUAACAGCGUAAUCUUUUUAGAGAGUUCUUAUCGAAACAAGGGAUUGCGACCUCGAUGUUGAUUAAAGUUAAUUUUUGGUGUAGAAGCUGAGAUAUUGAGUCUGUUCGACUUUUAAAACUUUACAUGAUCUGAGUUUAAACCGGUGUGAGCCAGGUUGGUUUCUAUCUUUAUUAAGAUAAAAUAUUUUAGUACGAAAGGACCAGAUAUUUAAUAAAUUAUUUUUAUAAUGAAUUUUAUUAAUGUUACUUUGGCAGAUUAGUGUGUUAGAUUUAGAAUCUUUUUAUGUAAAGUUUUUACAGGUAAUAUUUGUAUAUAUUUGAUGUUAUCUUACUUUUUUUGAGUAUACUAAUUUUAGUUAUUUGUGUUUUAAUUGGAGUUGCUUUUUUUACGUUAUUCGAGCGUAAAAUCUUAGGAUAUAUUCAAAUCGUAAGGG